UUACACGCUUCGAAAAAUAACCUUCGCAUCGUUAAUCUACUGAACAAUUACACGCGCUCAAUGGAAGAUUCUCCCUCUGCCGUAAAACUCCCAACGAUUAUUCAAUUGAAGAAGUUUCACAGCUUGUAUUAAAAAUAUUAAGACGAUAAUGAUUCAACGGAAGUUGUGAAUAAUUACGCAGCCUUCAAUUUAUAAUGUGAAGAUACUAUGGUAAAGUAAUUUUUGUUAUUUAACUCCGAUGAAGGAAGUUAUGAGACUUUUUUGCGGCUUAAGUUCUGAAAUGUUUGUGCUCGAAGUGGUUUGUAAACAAAAAAAUAUAUUACGUAAUCGAAGGCUCAGGAUAGUUUACAAGAAAACCCUUGGACAAAUAUGAAAUAUGUUUGUAUCUGUGAUGCAAAAUGGUAGGUUUUUAAUAUGGCGGAAUUAAAUUUCUGACGUAAAAUAAUGAUAGAUAUUUAUAAGUAAAAUUUGUCUUUGGUAACUCUUUUAUUUGCUCUCUAUGAGUGUAAAAGAUCAUGGACCACACGCUGAUAAGUGUUCCGGGGAAAGAAAUGAAACAACGGCCUCUUUCGCGACAGAAAUAGGCAAAAUUGUGAUGGUACCUACCCGUACGGAAUGACAAUACCACCAGUAACCAAGUCUCUUAAUUAACCUAUAGGUCGGACUAGCAUACACGAAUAACGAUUAUAUGUGCAUAGUAUUAAAAUAAAUUAAGGAUUGAGAAUACAUAGUAUCAGUAGGUUUAACCACAGUCUAUUGCUAAAUCUUUAAAAGCACACUGCUUAAUUUUUUUUUUUUGUGGCGUUGGGCGCAUUGCUAUUAGUAAAAACUUCGAUCAACAAUAGUAACUAGAUUUCGGGUCGGCGCAAAAAUCCGUCUCGUUAAAUAACAGCGCACUUGAAAUGUGAGCUCUUAUUUUGUUUAGUUCACUCCAGACACAGCCAAUGUCAACCCGUCUCACAAUGCCGCAGUGUGUAUUCGAAAAUUGCAAAAAAUGCCCGAAAAAGCAAUUUAACGGCCGGAGUAUCUUACUUUCGCUUUCCUAGCAAUCACGUGUGCAGAAUGGAUCUCGAUUGUCGCCAGAGAAAGAAGAGAUUACUUUUAUAAGCCAGCUAAGAACUCCACUCAUUGACACUGGACAUCUUUGCCUUCCGUGUUCACGGCUACUGAAACGUGGCCGAAGCAUUGUAAUAAAAAUAUCGCGCUUAAAACCGUUUAAA